GUGAAUGAUGAUAUGCACUGGGCUCUGAACAGUUUUAUUUAGUACUAUUGAUGGAAAUGUGUAGCCUAGAAAGCUUUAUCUGACAC
rfam:Medicago truncatula strain A17 chromosome 6, whole genome shotgun sequence.